AAUAAUAAUAUAAACUUCAAAAUUUAAAUUUGUUCAUGGGGGACAAAACACCCCAAAAGUACAAAGCCAAAAUCAAAAUACAGAAUUCUGGAAAUACAAUCAAAAUAAAACAUAACAUGAAAAAAUAAAAUAACUUAUCCCUCCACGGACUCAUAACCCUCCUCACUACCGGCUUCAGAACCGGUAGCCUCAUCAUCAUCAUC
rnacentral:lncRNA from 1 species